CGGCGGCCGUAACUAUAACGGUCCUAAGGUAGCGAAAUUCCUUGUCAGGUAAGUUCUGACCCGCACGAAAGGCGUAACGAUUUGGGCGCUGUCUCAGCUGUAGACUCGGUGAAGUCUUAGUACCUGUGAAGAUGCAGGUUACCCGCGACUAGACGGAAAGACCCCAUGGAGCUUUACUGUAGCUUGAUAUUGGACUUUGAUGCAAGAUGUACAGGAUAGGUAGGAGACUGAGAGACAUGCACGCCAGUGUGUGAGGAGUCAAUGUUGGGAUACUACUCUUCUUGUAUUGGAGUUCUAACCGGAUGCCAUGGAACUGGCAACGGGACAGUGUCAGGUGGGCAGUUUGACUGGGGCGGUCGCCUCCCAAAGAGUAACGGAGGCGCCCAAAGAUACCCUCAGCUUGGAUGGAAAUCAAGCGCAGAGUGCAAAGGCAUAAGGGUGUUUGACUGCGAGACCUACAAGUCGAGCAGGGACGAAAGUCGGGCUUAGUGAUCCGGCGGUGCUGAAUGGAAAGGCCGUCGCUCAACGGAUAAAAGCUACCCUGGGGAUAACAGGCUGAUCUCCCCCAAGAGUUCACAUCGACGGGGAGGUUUGGCACCUCGAUGUCGGCUCAUCGCAUCCUGGAGCUGAAGUCGGUUCCAAGGGUUGGGCUGUUCGCCCAUUAAAGCGGUACGCGAGCUGGGUUCAGAACGUCGUGAGACAGUUCGGUCCCUAUCUGUCGUGGGCGUAGGAAGUUUGAGAAGAUCUGUCCUCAGUACGAGAGGACCGGGAUGGACAUAUCAAUGGUGCACCAGUUGUCACGCCAGUGGCACAGCUGGGUAGCUAAAUAUGGAAGGGAUAAACGCUGAAGGCAUCUAAGUGUGAAACCCACUUCAAGAUGAGACUUCCCAUUACGCAAGUAAGUAAGACCCCUUAAAGACGAUAAGGUUGAUAGGUCAGGAGUGUAAGCAUGGCGACAUGUUCAGCGGACUGAUACUAAUAGGUCGAGGACUUAACCU
rnacentral:rRNA from 1 species